rnacentral:tRNA from 1 species
GUUAGAAUAGCAAAGGGCAAAAUGCAAUAGAUUUAGGAUCUGUCAUUCAAGAGUUCGAGUCUCUUUUCUAGUU